AAAAAACGUAUGUAACCAAUCAAAUCCUGAAAUUACUGACGUCCGGCUGACUCUGACCUCAGUCAUUCUUAAAGAAGAACGAUUCGAAAGACCGGGGUUUGAGGUCAUCAAGAACACCGCUAAAAUUAUUCCAGAUCGAAGGGAAGUAUUGAUGUCUUUGUUUUAUCCGCUCUACUAAAAGUAAAAUGGCAUUUAGCGUUGUACAUUUGCUAAUGACCGAUGAAGUGGCUGUCGUCCAAGCAAAUGAGUGUCAGAUGAUAAAAAGGGACAUGUAACUGGCCUUCGUAUAAAGAAAGAAGUCACAUGAAAAGAGCAAUUCUGGAACACAGAGAACCAGAUACAUCCUGAGAGAAUUUUUAUAUUGUUAUCCUGGGAGAAUAUUGUGCUUUCAAAGAAAAUCGGGCCACCAGAGAGGUACCUUGCAAUAUUAUUGAACAUAUUAUAAAAGACUGGUUGAAAAGUGUUUCAUUUAGAGAAAAGUAUCAUAAACAAAAAGGAAAAUGUACAACAGAAGGAAGUUUGUAAACAAUGGAAUAAAAAAUUUGUGUAUUAGCUUGUACGAAAAUACUGUAAUUAAAGUUAUUAAUUGUUCA
rnacentral:lncRNA from 1 species